rnacentral:rRNA from 1 species
GAUGAACGCUGGCGGCGUGCCUAAUACAUGCAAGUCGAGCGAACGGACGAGAAGCUUGCUUCUCUGAUGUUAGCGGCGGACGGGUGAGUAACACGUGGAUAACCUACCUAUAAGACUGGGAUAACUUCGGGAAACCAGAGCUAAUACCGGAUGAUAUUUUGAACCGCAUGGUUCAAAAGUGAAAGACGGUCUUGCUGUCACUUAUAGAUGGAUCCGCGCUGCAUUAGCUAGUUGGUAAGGUAACGGCUUACCAAGGCAACGAUGCAUAGCCGACCUGAGAGGGUGAUCGGCCACACUGGAACUGAGACACGGUCCAGACUCCUACGGGAGGCAGCAGUAGGGAAUCUUCCGCAAAGGGCGAAAGCCUGACGGAGCAACGCCGCGUGAGUGAUGAAGGUCUUCGGAUCGUAAAACUCUGUUAUUAGGGAAGAACAUAUGUGUAAGUAACUGUGCACAUCUUGACGGUACCUAAUCAGAAAGCCACGGCUAACUACGUG